rnacentral:rRNA from 1 species
AUUGAACGCUGGCGGCAUGCCUUACACAUGCAAGUCGAACGGUAACGGGCCUUCGGGUGCCGACGAGUGGCGAACGGGUGAGUAAUAUAUCGGAACGUGCCCAGUAGUGGGGGACAGCCCGGCGAAAGCCGGAUUAAUACCGCAUACGACCUACGGGUGAAAGGGGGGGAUCGCAAGACCUCUCGCUAUUGGAGCGGCCGAUAUCAGAUUAGGUAGUUGGUGGGGUAAAGGCCUACCAAGCCUGCGAUCUGUAGUUGGUCUGAGAGGACGACCAGCCACACUGGGACUGAGACACGGCCCAGACUCCUACGGGAGGCAGCAGUGGGGAAUUUUGGACAAUGGGGGCAACCCUGAUCCAGCAAUGCCGCGUGCAGGAAGAAGGCCUUCGGGUUGUAAACUGCUUUUGUCAGGGAAGAAAUCCUCUGGGUUAAUACCUCGGGGGGAUGACGGUACCUGAAGAAUAAGCACCGGCUAACUGCGUGCCAGCCGCCGCCGUAAUAC